UCAGUCUGGAAACAACCGCGCAGUUGAACGGACGGAUGAGAAUCGCGCUCCGCAGAUUUCGAGUACCGGGUUCUCUACCUCCUGGAUCCUACGCUCCGGGUCCGCUACCUUGUGAAACUCGAGUUCCAGGACGAGCGCUCCGUAGUUUCUAUGCUCCAGGUCCGCUACCUGGUGAAACUCGAUUUCAGGGAGAAGUGCUCCGUAGUUUAUGCGCGCAAGCUCAACUACAUGGUGAAACUAGACUUCCAGGACAAGCGCGACGUGGUUCCUGUUUCAUAUUUACAGUGAAUUAAUUCGAUUUAUUUUUCGCACAAGCCCAAAUUCAGGAGCUGUCAAUGCGCUAAUAAUAAUUAUACAAUUUUUUAUAAUUUUCUCAUAAUCUUCUUGGUGAAAUGUGUCGAUGAAAAAAUUGUAUUAAUCCUUACACAAUACGUUUGAUGUGUUCUAAUACUGAAAAUAUUUAUCAGUAUACGAGGUAUAACCCGAGGUGUUUAGCGCUGGUCGUUGGAGAUGGUCUGAGCUGGACGAGGGGGAGGACGAGAAAGACGAGGAGAACAAGGUGGACGAGUGGGACGAGGAUUUGUGCUCGGUAUAAUCCGAGGUGGUUGACGGUGGUUAGAGGUGGUCGGAGGUGGUGAGGGGUGGUUGCGGGUGAUCAAGGUGGACGGGGAGAAGAACGAGGAAGCGACGGAGAACGAGGAUUUCUCUAGGACAACCCAAGGUAGUUAGCGGUGGUCGUUGGAAGUGGUUGGCGGUCGUUGGAGGUAGUCAGAGGUGGUUGCGGGUGAUCGAGCGGGACAAGGAGGAAGACAAGGAGGAGAGGGACGAGGAUUCAUACAUGGUGGUUAUCGAUGGAUGUUGGAGGUGGUUGAAGGUGGUUGGAGAUGUUCGGAGGUGAACGUGGAGGAGGUCGAGGAAGACGAGGAGAAAGGUGGACCAGGAGGACGAGGAUUUGUGCACUGCCGACAAGUCGGUGAGUACACUCAGGCCAAGUACUGGCUUGGGCUUACCAUUGCGAAGACUGUGUUACUCAGAAGUUGAAUGCAGCCAGCAUCAUGUCGAAAUCGGAAACUCUCUGAUGUUCUGCAAUAACUUCUCAACUCUACCGUUGGAAUACCUCACAGAGCAGUUUUCGGUUGUCACGUUAAAGCCCAUGAGGGCGACUGUGUUUAUAUUCUUCAUCCAAUGGUACAACCCGAUGUGGUUAUCGGUGGUUGUUCGAGGUGGUUGAAGGUGGUCGGAGGUGGACG